UACGUAGGCAGCAAGCGUUGUUCGGAGUUACUGGGCGUAAAGGGCGCGUAGGCGGCCACCGCAAGUCGGUUGUGAAAUCUCCGGGCUUAACCCGGAAAGGUCAAUCGAUACUGCGGGGCUAGAGUGCAGAAGGGGCAACUGGAAUUCUCGGUGUAGCGGUGAAAUGCGUAGAUAUCGAGAGGAACACCUGCGGCGAAGGCGGGUUGCUGGGCUGACACUGACGCUGAAGCGCGAAAGCUAGGGGAGCGAACGGG
rnacentral:rRNA from 1 species